rnacentral:lncRNA from 1 species
UUAAGGCUUUAUUGCUCUCAUCGCAUAUAUAAAGGAACUUUCAUGUCCCCCUAUUAAGUUUUGGAGGCUUUAGACUUUCUGAUGAUCAAGAAUUGUAUCUCUACUAUGAGGACUGCUAUCAACCCUUCUGGAUGAAGAUACCGCAUGAAACAUGUGUACAGACUGGAUAACUAGUAUGGCUGUCCGCAUUAUUUGUCUUGCACUGGAACCACCACCAUAAUUCUCAGCAGGGGGUGAUAACGGCAACUGCAUUUCAAGGUCCAUAUGAGGAUCAUUAACCUCUUGCAUCCUGUACAGUACAGCACAAAUCCAACUAUAAAUAGGCACACAAUAUACAGAUUAAUAUUAUGAUAUGCCAGAAAUUAUUUUUUGGUAACAAAAACCGUGAUUGAUGACCUACCUUGUUCAAAGACAGAGAGAAAUAGAAAGAUGCUGCGAAUGCUUGCUAUGUAAAGGCCAAAGGGUGUGUAAUUAUAUAUAGGCAGAAAAGAGAGAAGAGGGAUACCACACGCGGCAUGGUGCAUGGUUGUGUUAUUACUUUUAAAUUUCAAGGAUAUUCAAUUACAGCAUCCAUGAAAUGCAACAAUCAUAUCUACGAAAGUCUAAUAGAUAUUGCAACGAAUAUACACGAAUAAAAAGUAUGUAUGAUUGGUCAAUUUGUCGACAAUGAAAUAUGCAAAUGUUAUAUAUAUAUAU